rnacentral:misc_RNA from 1 species
AGUGAAGAAAAGGACUUUUUUUUUUCUUUUUGGCGUUGGAGAUGUGGAGGAAUAAUAUCACCAUAAAUUGUGGAGUUAGCAAAUUUCUCUGUCUAUUCAAAUGAAUAAAGCAAAUAUUUCAAAAUUGAAAAAAUAAAAAAAGAAGAGAGGAGGGAAAUGAUUUGAUGAAGAUAAAGAAAAAGUGGUUUAAGGUAAAGCUACCCCACCAAUGCCUGAUCUUUU